AUUGGUUCUGCCAGAGCUGCAUCAGCGACCUGCUCAGUCACCCUAACCCAUCAUGUCCAGCAGACAGAGAGCCGCUGUUCAAAGACAAGAUCUUCAGAGACGUUUGCUGCCAUCGGGAGAUCAUGGCGCUGAAGGUGUUCUGUCGCAGUGAAGCCAGCGGCUGCCCGGAGCAGCUGAGCCUGCAGCACAUCCCUGUGAGAACAUUAUAUAGAACUCUGGAACACUCCUGGUCCUUUAGCAGAACCCUGGGUUCUCCAGAGUGCUGUGGUUCAUUGUUUAUUAAUGUGGUUCAGCGGCAUUUACCGACCGCUGCAGUGCCGCUCGUCCACCGAAGUUCAUUCUCCCGUUAGCUCACGGCAGAAUUCAGUCUCCCGUUAACUCACACGGCAGCGGCCGCUGUAAAGUCUUCACUGUCUGACUGUCACACAAGCAGCUGAUACUGUUAUCCCCAAUU